rnacentral:lncRNA from 1 species
CUCUUGCAUCUGCUUCAAACAUUUCCCCUCUGUAACAAUGCAAACACUUCAACUCGUACAAAGCUUCACACACUCUUGAUCAAGACAGUGUGAAGCAAAACCAAUUUAUGGUGCCAACAAGAGCUUCAUCAAAGGAGUUCAACCACAAUUCGUAAAAGCUUCACACACUCUUGAUCAAGACAGUGUGAAGCAAAACCAGUUUAUGGUGCCAACAAGAGCUUCAUCAAAGGAGUUCAACCACAAUUCUCAAAAACUUCACACACUCUUGAUUAAGACAAUGUGAAGCAAAACCAAUUUAUGGUGCCAACAAGAGCUACAUCAAUAGAGGGCAACCAUAAUUCUCAAAACCUUCACACACUCUUGAUCAAGACAGUGUGAAGCAAAACCAAUUUAUGUUGCCAACAACAAGAGCUUCAUCAAUGGAGGGUAACCACAAUUCUUAAAAACUUCACACACUCUUGAUCAAGACAGUGUGAAGCAAAACCAAUUUAUGGUGCCAAUAAGAGCUUCAUCAAAGGAGUUCAACCACAAUUCUCAAAAGCUUCGCACACUCUUGAUCAAGACAGUGUGAAGCAAAACCAAUUUAUGGUGCCAACAAGAGCUUCAUUAAUGGAGAGCAACCACAAUUCUCAAAAGUUUCACACAAUCUUGAUCAAGACAGUGUGAAGCAAAACCAAUUUAUGGUGCCAAUAAAAGCUUCAUCAAAUGAGUUUAAUCACAAUUCUCAAAAGCUUCACACACUCUUGACCAAGACAGUGUGAAACAAAACCAAUUUGUGGUGCCAACAAAAGCUUCAUCAAUGGAGGGCAACUACAAUUCUCAGACCUUUGAAGCAAAUUCAAUUUAUAUGGUUCAUCCAAACCUUCGACUACUAUAAAGUGUGGCUUGCAUCACAAUCUCUUGCUCAACAGUGUGAAAGCAAAAUUUGUAUAUGUUGUCUCUCCCACAUUUUCAAAUUUCUAGUUUCCCAAAAAAAAAAAAAAAAAAAAAAUUGGAAAAUUCAACAAAGCUUCAUCAAUGGAGGACAACAACAAAUUCUCAAAAGCUUCACACUAUCUUGAUCAAGAUAGUGU